GAGAACAGAAUAUCUACACACGAUUGAUUGGAAUUUGGAAACUGCAAACCAGUAGCGCAAUGGCUCCUGCCAUGGAUCGCCUCCACAACCUUCUGGUCCUGCUCUUGUUCAUAGGUUGCCUCUUCAUAGAUGCUGCCGCCAAGCUUAACACCACAGCGCCUUGCCUCCCGGAUCAAGCUUCUUCCCUCCUCCGGCUAAAAGCUUCCUUCAUCGGUGACAACCUACCAUCAUGGCAAGCUGCAACAGAUUGUUGCCACUGGGAGGGCGUCACCUGCGACAUGGCCUUUGGAAGAGUCAUUUCUCUUGACCUCAGUGAGUUCCACCACCUAAUGAGCAGUCGUCUUGAUCCUGCGCUCUUCAACCUCACCUCUCUCAGGAACCUCAGCCUUGCAUCUGUUGACUUCAGAGGAGUCUCGCUCCCGGCUUUUGGGUUUGAGCGGCUCACGGAUAUCAUUUACCUCAACCUCUCUGAUACCGGUUUUAUGGGUAAGAUCCCAAUUGGAAUUGCGUGCCUCAAGAACCUUGUGACCAUUGACUUGUCUUAUAAUUACGAAUUGUAUUUUGAACGGCCAAGUUUCCAAACCAUCAUGGCAAAUAUGAGCAAUCUGAGGGAGCUUUAUCUUGAUGAAGUGGGUUUACAGAACAUCGGAUCGGAUUGGUCCACUGUUUUAGCAGACUCCGUUCCCCAGCUACAGAUUCUUAGCUUGCCCUGGUGUGGUUUAUCAGGUUCUAUCCACCCUUCAUUCUCAAGGCUUCGCUCACUUACGGUGAUCAACCUCAGAUACAAUGAUGGACUCACCGGCAAAGUCCCGGAGUACUUUUCUGAACUAUCUUCCUUGACCAUUUUAGACAUAUCAGGAAGUCAAUUUGAAGGGCAAUUUCCAACAAAAAUAUUCCAGCUAAAAAGUUUGAGGACGCUUGAUUUGUCCUGGAACCCCAUGCUUUCUGUGAGAUUAACAUAUUUCCCAGCUGGAAACAAUUUGGAAGUACUAAAUCUAGAAGGGACCAAUUUGUCUUAUGACACGCCAUUGGGGCAAUCUCGAGUCUUUAAAGACAUUGGGGCUUAGCACGAUGGGAAUUGAUAAUGAACUCUUCUCUUUGAUAUCUGAGCUUCCAGCAUUGGAUUACCUGCGACUCACUGGAUCAGAUUUGGAGAACCCGGUAUUAUCUUGGGUCAGCAAUCUUACCCAAUUGACAAACCUGGUGCUUGAAGGUUAUGACUUCUCAAACUCGGUUCCCACUUGGAUCGGCAAAUUGACAAGGCUGGAAAUUUUGACAAUAUGGGAUUGCAGUUUCUCCGUGCCAAUACUGUACCAGAUUAGAAAUCUUACUAAAUUGGCAGCGCUGGAGUUCACUGGUUGCGACUUAUCUGAGCAAACAAUGCCAUCAUGGAUAGGCAAUCUUACAAAGUUGACUUCUUUGACCAUUGAAGAUUGCAGUUUAUCUGGGCCAAUACCCUCUACAAUUGGAAACCUGAUCCAACUUGAAGAGUUGGUGUUCUGGGAUACUAACAUCAGCGGUGAGACUAUGUCCCUGUUACUUUCUUUCUAGAUACCUCCUUUUAUUUUGCAACUGUAGACAGAUCAUACACCUACUAUAUGACACGCCAUGCAUACACCGUUAAAAAAAUAAUAAUGAAUUUAAGUGAAGAAGAAAAUUUAACACUACCAAAUCGACAGAGUGAUCUUCAGAAAACAAGAAAAAGGCUUUGGCUAGUAAUUUUCGGCAAUGUUGAGAAAAGAAAAACACUGAUAUUUUCACUUUGAGUCUAUGACCAAUUUCCAUAGUUUAGUAGUUUGGAAGGUUAGAUGCCUUUAACACUAGUACACACGAGUCACGACUCAGGUCCUCUUUUCCUUCUUUUUUCUGUAAAUAUAGUAUUGGUCCAUUUACAAAUAUACCAAGGAAUAUUAAUUUUUUUGGACAGGCCUUUUUUUAUUAUUUUGACCAGAUUUACAUGUAAAUGUUCUCUAACGAUAAAUCAACUUUAGAAUAUAUCAUUUGUAGAUCGAAACACUGGAUCUGUUAAAAUAUAUAUUGAAUAUGUUGUGUUAAAAUUGUUCGGCUUUCCCUGGUCUAAGGCCUCUUUGAAACAAAGGAACAACAAAAGGAAGGACUAGGUUUUUUGAGCAUGGUCUCUCUCCCUCUCUCUCUCUCAAACCUGAGCGUGGUCUGGAUUUUCUACUUGUUAUGAUUUGUGAAGGAAGAGGACCCUUUCUUGUGGAAUUGGAAUUGGAGGGUGCAUUCCAAAAUUCCAAAAUUCAAACGGUUCUUUCCUUUCCUCCAGAACGCAGUUACUUUUGUGUCCUUACCCCCUCAGUGUCGUGGCUUCUUUAGGCCAGUCUCAAUGCACAAUUUCAUUGCAAUGUUACAAAAAUUGCAAAUUUGGUAACUGUGCAGGUAGGGUUUCAUGAGGAUGAAACUCCUCUCUCAUUUCAUGAAACUCCAUCCUCUCUCUCCUCAUAAAGACCUUGACAAAUCAGCAAAAUUGCUGAUGUGGUAUAGAAAUUAAUGCUGACGAAACUUUUUAUAACACUUCCACUAAGACUGGCCUUAGAUUGCAGCAACAUUCGGAUAUGUCUAGCUCCAAUGUAAUGAGAUGCUAAUUUGUUUCAAUUUCAUACUAGCGCUUUUAGUGUGAAGAAGCAUUAAUAAAGUCUACAACAUUCUAACUGUUGGUAUUCUACCCUAACAUGCAGGAAAAAUUCCGAAGUCUUUGUUCGCUCUUCCAGUCCUGCAGCAGCUUCAUCUAGUUAGGAAUCAGCUUGUUGGCCCACUAGAAGACAUUCCUGCUCUUUUAUCGUCACCAAUGCGGGAGAUCGAUUUAGGAGGUAAUCAAUUGACAGGCCCAAUACCAAAAUCACUUUUUCAGCUCACGAAUCUUGAGCGUCUUCUUCUAGCUGAGAAUCAGCUUGUUGGUUCACUAGAAGACAUUCCUGCUCCUUUAUCAUCACCAUUGCGGGAGAUCGAUUUACAAGGUAAUCAAUUGACAGGUCCAAUACCAAAAUCACUUUUUCAGCUCACGAAUCUUGAGUAUCUCAAUCUUGGCUCGAAUAAAUUGACAGGCACAAUAGAACUUGGCUCUAUACGGAGGUUGAAAAAUCUCAUUAUUCUCGACCUGGGUAACAAUAUGAUAUCACUCGUAGAAAAAGAAGGUGAUACGAUAUUCUCUUAUUCCCUUAAAAUCCAGACCUUAUACCUUGCAUCUUGCAACCUUACAAAAUUUCCGGAACCAUUAAAAUAUCUUGACACUAUUCAAUAUCUCGACCUUUCCAAUAACCAAAUCGAAGGGGCCAUACCAAGUUGGGUGUGGGAGAAACCACUGCUUCAGUUGAACCUCUCACACAACAUGUUUACUACUUUAGAGAAGUCUCCUACUGUUCAGAUGACACAUUUAAAUUCUCUUGAUCUCAGUUCUAAUAGAAUUCAAGGAAGCAUACCAAUACCAUCAACUCCAUCCGACCUGAUUCUGUUGGAUUACUCAAAUAAUAACUUCUCUACCAUUGAACCGAACUUUGGCAGGUAUCUUACAAAUGCCCACUACAUCAAUUUGUCAAAAAAUAAAUUAAGUGGCCAUGUACCACUUUCAUUUUGUAGUUUAAGCCAACUUGAGCACAUGGACUUAUCUUACAAUAACUUUAGUGGACCAAUUCCAUCAUGUCUUAUGGAAAGAGUUGACCCGAGCAUACUGAAGUUAAGAGGAAACAAAUUACAUGGCGUGCUACCUGAAAAUAUUAGAGAAGGAUGUAAGCUUCAGACAAUUGAUUUCAAUGAAAAUCAAAUUGAAGGUGCGCUACCUAGAUCACUAGCAAAAUGCCAAGACUUAGAGGUUCUUGAUGUUGGCAGUAAUCAUAUUGUAGAUUCAUUUCCAUCAUGGAUGGGUACUCUUCCAAAUCUUCGAAUUCUUGUGUUGAGAUCUAACAAACUCUAUGGCACUAUAAGGGAUCUUCGCAGGGGCUACCAACACUUCACAAGUUUGCAAAUAGUUGAUUUGGCCUCCAACCAUUUCUCUGGUGACUUACAUUCCGAAUGGUUUGAGAAUUUUAUUUCAAUGAUGAAUAACAGCAAUGAUGAGGGGCAGAUAUUAGAGCACCAUCCAACUGGACCAAUGACACGAUUGUAUCAAGAUACUGUCACUAUCACCUUCAAAGAUGCUGCUUUAAGCAUCACCAAAAUCCUUCGUGCUUUCAAAGUAAUUGAUUUGUCAAAUAACUCAUUUGAGGGUUCCAUUCCAAGUUCAAUUGGAAGACUUGCUUCACUUCACGGACUUAACAUGUCGCACAAUAACUUCACGGGAGAAAUUCCAUCACAACUUGGGAAGUUAACAAGGUUGGAAUCAAUGGAUCUCUCUUGCAACCAUCUCUCGGGAGAAAUUCCACAGGAGUUUACCUCUCUAACUUCUCUUUCCGUGUUGAACCUUUCGUACAACAACUUGACAGGAAGAAUACCGCAGGGAAACCAAAUCUUGUCAUUUCCCAGCAGUUCGUUUGAAGGCAAUGCUGGCCUAUGUGGAAUUCAGCUUUCCAAGGAAUGUGACCCUCGUCCAGAUUCAACCACCCCAAGCACAUUGGCUCCAGAACACAAUGCUUUGUGGCAGGAUAGACUUGAUGCCAUCAUGUUGUUCCUCUGUGCUGGCUUGGGCUUUGGCGUGGGUUUUGCAUUGGCAAUCAUAUGCGGUCCCUUUUACCACAUAGAAGAAUGGCUUUGCAAGCAUUUGUAUUAGUAAUAUAAGUUUUCAACAAGAAUAAUUAUGUAUGUUUGUGCUGUACUCGUUAUUAGAUGAGACAUCUUAAAUCCACUCAGUUGUAAUUACGUUGUAACUAGUCCAUCAACCCGUACUUCCGCAUGGGCAAAUAUUUUUAAAAGCUGUUGUAUUUGAAAAUUAUUUAGAAAUUAAACUCCUAGCUAAUAAUCAAAAUUGUUUACUUAUUACUCUCACAUUUUUUCAAUACUUCAACAUAGUACUCAUAUAGAUGUGUACUCAUCUUUGUCUAGUUGUGAUUGAUUUUUAAUUAGUAAUUACUCUAUACACUUUUUCAUCCACAUUCACACCUUUCCAUUUUUUAUUGCACCUCCGUACAUUGUGUUUAGCAUCAAAAUUAAUAUUUUUCAUCACUUUAUCACAUACAUGUAUAAAUGGUCUACAUGGUAACACUCAUCAUGUCUAUAUACCUUAACUUAGUAUUUCUAUAUUAACAAUGACAUAAACUAGUAAUUUAGAAUCAUAUAUUAGUUUGUUUUUAGACAUUUCUAUAUGAUGCAUAUGCAUGAAGAUAAUUAGAUUAAGAAUUAGGUGUUUACUUUAGAUUAUUUUUAAAAAUGACAUACAUGAGUAACUUAGAUACAAAUUUAGAAUGGCAUUUUAAGUUAUGCUUUAUAAUUGUAGGCAUGGGUAAAUUGGAUGAAGAUUAUGGGGUUACUUUACAUUAUUUUUUUAUAAUGGUAGGGCUUGGUAAUUUAGAUAUAGGUUUGGGGUUUACAAUGACAGUGGUGGGUAACUUUUUAGAAAAUAUAAUAGACCAAUGACUAUGAUUAAUAUAGUUUGCAUGAUUGAUAUUUGAUAUUUAUGAUUUUUGUGAGAAGUAAUUGUGUUUUUUUAGCAUAUCUCUUAAGAACCAAUGCAGAGUCUCCAAUGGAAAAAAAUGAGGCCACAUUGCUAUAAAACUAUUACCUUGAGCUCCUUCUCAUUUGUUAAAUAUUCAAAAACAUACUUAUAUAGAUAUAUAAUUAUUAUCUUCACCCGAUUGCGAUAGAUUUUAGUUUGUAAUUUCUCUUUAACAUUUUCAUCCAUAUUUAUAAUCUUUAAUUUUUCACUUUGCAUUGCAAAUAUGCGCUUGAAUUUGUUUAAUGGAACCUAAGUUUGAGCUAACAUUUUAACAUAAAAAUUUAUAUUCCCAUCACUUUAAUUCUCUAUAUCUUUAUAAAUGGUGAAAGACAUCUUGCCUAUAUACCUUAAUUAUUAUAUGAUAUACCUAUAGUGUAAGAAAUAGAUGAUUUAGAAUCAUAUAUUGGUGUAUAUUUUGAAUUAAGGUUAUUUGGAUUCAAAUGUAGGGUUACCUCAUGUUAUUUUUAAUAAUAGCAUAUAUGGGUAAUAUAGAUGCAAAUUUAAAGGGUCAUGUUAAGUUAUUUUUUAAGUAUUAGUGGUGGGCAAUUAGUUGGUAAUUUAGGAGGUUAUUUUAAAUAUUAUUUAUAAUGGUACAUGUGGGUAAUUUUGAUAAAUAUUAGGGGUUAGUUUAGUUUAGUUUAUAUAAUAGCAUAUGGGUAAUUUAGAUGUAGAUUUAGGGGUUACUUUAGGCUAUUUUCAUAAUGGCAUAGGUGGAUAAUUUUUUUUAGAAAAACAUAAUAGAUCUAAUGGCUAUGAUGAGUUGAGUCUACAGAUUGAUGGCCAGAUGUUUUGCUUUUUUAUGAGAAUUUCUACGAUAAGAAAUGCAGCGGUGGUCCUCUCUAUAAAAUUUGCAUGGGUCUUAAAGCAGACAAACUUAUUAAUUAAAUAUUUUUUAGUUAUCUUUAUUCUGGGUCUCUUCUAGGCCAGCCCAGUCCAUGUCCAGAUGAGUCUGUUUCCUCCCGAUCCGUUUUAGUCCCUCUGAACGGCGGCUCAUGUUCCUCGCGAAAAGAACGGAGCAACGAUGGCUUGCGGCGGCGCUCCAUGGCAGUGGCACAUCAUAAAGGCGGUGGAAGCAUCCAACAUGUGGUUGGACUGAAACAUUUUCAUGAUUAUUCCUUCUGUGAAGUUAGUCACCUUGCAAUGUGCAAGCUAGAAACAAUAUCAUUGCAAGCAUAAUAAGGUACAACAUCUGCAAUGUUUCUCAUGAAUGUGUGGAAUGGCCUCCGGACACGACGUCCGCAAAACGGUCAGGAAUAAUGAACCAAGUAGCAAUUAAUGUGCAGGCGCCGUAUGUAGAGCAGGUUGGGAUUUGGGAAGUCCGGUGUCACUGCAGUCCACCUCGUCCGGUAGCACGAUUACACCUGCCUGACGAGGAGAUGGUACCGCUACAUGUGCUAAGGACGUCGAGUUGUCGAGGUCCCAGCUAGACGCGCGACUCUCUCUUGGUGCAGCCGUUUCCCUCUCCGGGCAGUGGCGAUCUCACUCACCGGCGCAGCUCCGUGCAGCCGCUACAUGUGCACCUCCAUUAUUGAUUAUGUCGGCCACUGAUAUUCUCUUUAUCCAAUCCAAUCAAAUCCAAUCGUAUUGGCUGGGUAGGAGUGGGCGAGGCGAGGCAAGGCCCAAGAUUAUCCCACUGCUAAAAAAAUUAAGAAAUAAACUAAUCUUGUUGCUUUGAAACGCGUGCUAAUUUUUAGAAAGGGACCACCAGAGCAUUUCUCUUCUAUGAUUUCUCUCUUUUUCUAAGUGUCCACUUAGGAUUCUAGGUAGUUUCACCUGAAGGCUUCAGAAGGAGUCUCUAAUUAGUAAUAUUUACUGAAUUUCAUAAGGCCCCGUUUGGAUCAUUGGAAUUGAAUUCCAUCAUAAUAAUCAUAAUUUAGACACAAAUUAAUUAAGCUAAUAUAAUUGUAUGUGAAAUAUAGUUGUAUAUUAUAGUUGGUGAUAUGGGAGAGAUACUUAUGUGCUGCACUUCUACCAUAGAGAAGCGAGUCUAAGAGCGUGCUAUAAGAAUUGAAUUCCAUUCUAAUAACCAUAAUCUAUAGAAUCAAUUUCCAUCUCCCACCCCAUGAAUUUAAGAUAAGCUUAUAUAUAAACUUUGGAAAGUUGUGGAAUGCCACAUUCCAACAUAAAUUAGCCUACUCCAUUAAAUAGAUUCCAAUUCCUUCAUACCAAACGGGGCCUAAGUGAUUUUCAAAGAGAGUUUUUUUUUGACAGCACUCCAAGUCUCCAACUUGAUAUCAACUGAAACUGAAAGCCGGCCAAGGUGCUGGUUGUAUCUGAGUACCACUAUCCAGAAUCUCCACUUGUAUUGGCGGUGGCCAUGGAUGCUUCAGAAGCUCACCAUCUCUACUUGGCUGAAUGGCGUCCACAAUAUUGGCCUUAGAUCAUCUGCACUGUGCAAUGCAUGUUACCGGCAUUACCCUGAACACCUUGAGGGCAUUGUAGACACCAGUGCCAAUACACAGCAGAAACAUGUCAUCUGUUAGAGCCGGGCUCUCGCUGGUGAUUUGGAAGUCGCAGACGUUGUUGCUGUUGAUUGUGGUGAACAAAGUUAGGGUGGUGGCUAGAGCACUCGCGGUCGGUGGAACACAAGCAUUGUGGAUAUGACUGGGCAUUGAACAUCUGGUGGGCGUCACGGAUUAGCACUCCGUAGUGGUGAUAGAGAUGGCUAGGGUGGCAUCCUGGUCAGAGUAGAGGUGGAUGUAGAGGGAAGUGCCGAGGAUGCGGUCUUGGACACCAGAAUGCAGGUGUCAUGGUAAAGGGAAGUCUUUGGACACCUUGUGGGCGCCAUCUCUAGAACCUCGGUGGCCCUGACAGAACGAUGCGGAAAGCUGUUGGUUAUGCCGAGGUCAUGGCUGUAGGCACUUGAAAGCAGGUGGCCUGGUUAGGACCCGCCAUCGAACACCUGGUGGGCGCCACUGGUUGAAGCUCCGUGGCCGUGAUGAGAAUGACAACAGAGGCAUCCCGUGGUGGAAAGGAGGUCAGUGAAGGGGGGUUGAAGAUGCCGGUGGCUCAGCACGGUGGCACAACUGAGCAUUCCUUUCCUCGAUCUUCCGAUUCAUGUCAUCACACUUCUGAUCUAGUUCCUCGAGCUUGGCCAGUAUCACAGCACACAUCUCCUCCGUCAUGUUCACUCGUAUUCCGAUGCAGUGGUAGUGGUGGUUUUUGAUCGAAAUAGCUGUGAACCAAAUGUCACACCCUAGAUGCAACUCACAGAACAAAUUAUCUCCCAACAAUGAACUACGGAAUAUAUAUGGAGUAUACUAGAAUUUGGAUACACAUGGAUGAGGAACUCGCUAGUGUUCUCGAGUCGAAGCUUGCCGCCGCAGAGCCAAUGAGUCCCAAAUCCAGUUCUUCUUUCCCUCAUGACGACUAUUUUAUCCUCUUACAUGCUGCGCCAGCUAUGCUGCAGCGAUACCCGUUCAUGGGCCUAUCUUAACUACCUUAGCCAUCGGGCCCAACAAGAAUAACGUUGGGCUUCCGAACCUGAUGGCCCACAACUUCAGCUUUACUUCACUUAAGAUAGUUGCUAGUUAGUACUCCCUCCGUCCCAAAUUAUAGGUCGUUUUGACUUUAUUAGAUUCAUAGACUUUGUUAUGCACUUAGAUAUCUAGAUGCAUAAUAAUAUCUAUGUAUCUAGAAAAGUCAAAACGAUCUAUAAUUUGGAACGGAGGGAGUACAUGUCUUAUCUACAACCCUGCAUUAGCUAUCUCACUCUAGUUUGGCUAGCUGUCAGGACAGUCUGCUUACUCGAAGCUUGAGGCAUGUUUCUUUAAUAUAGUUUUCUUUUUCUUCUUGGAUAUUUAUAGCACAUAAUUGAUCCUGUGAAGUACUGCUAUAGAGAGGAAGACUAGUUCUUCUUAUUUAACAUCUCUUUGUGUUCUGCAUAUGCAUGAAAAGAAGGGCAUAGCUAGGUGAAAUGUUCUUUUGUUGGCUGUAUAAGACUUCAUUUUUUUAAUUUAUUUUUUUUAAACUUUUAGAUCAAUCGUUUGAAUUCUCUUCAAUAUUUUCUUGCUUCAUGUUCUCUUUGUUUUUGUGCAACAGUAUGAUAUUGGAAUAGGAAUGCUGCAAGACAAUCCAAAUAGAAGGUUAGUUUCAUCAUAUUUAUAUGGUUAAAAUUACUUCAAAAUUAUAUGGUUAAAGUUACUAUGUAAUGGUUGACUGUCACUGUUGUUUGCAUUGGCAGAUCAUGGAUGGAAUUCCUGCAAGAGCCAAGCACAAACUGUAUUCAGCGCUUCUCUGUUGAUGUUUCGUUUCUCGUUGCCGCCUUUCUUGCAGACCGGUUAGGGUUAGGUUACACCAUCUGCUUCAGGUGAUUUCGGGAAUGUGGAAUGUCUCCUCUUCAUUUGAGAAGAGAGAAAGAGUGUUUUGUUGGAAUAUUACUGGUGCGUAUGUUUAUGCAUGGCUUUUCAGGCUCAAAUCAAGGGGAAAAAAUAGACUAAUGGGCUGGUAAAUUUAUGUUCUGGUGGAUUUUCUCUAUGGCUUUAUUUAGUUCCAAGAAUCCUGGUGAACUCCGAAACUUAAAAUGAAAUCCUAAAAUUGUUUCUCUAACCUCCUAAAAUGGGCUGUUCUUUUUUUCUGGUCAACUAUUUCCCCCAACUUCCGGAACUUAAAAUGAAAUCCUAAAAUUUCUCGGCCUCUCUUGUUUCAGGUCAUCAGGCCCAACCGAGGCCUCUUCUCUCCUUUCGUCAUUCGGUCCCUCUAAUUUUGCUCUUCUGCUUGCGCACCAGGCGUCAUCGCUCACCGCGCCAGGAGCUUUUGCAGCGCCAGACGGCCCUGCUCUACACCACAGUAUUCUUCCUUGGAACCUGCGGGCUCCGGUGAGCCGCUUUGGGAUCUCCUAUUCGCGACUCUGGGUACCUCGCCGGGUUACAGUUGCCUUCAUUGUACUUCGUCAUUGCUCUCUAACUAGGUACUCGAUUAUGAACAGCGCGCCGGCUCAGUGAGUACUCGGUGAAGGCGAGCGCAACGAGCCCCAACACAUGUCAUCCGUCGAAAACUACAUAAUUUCCAGAGUAUGGAAUUUUCAGCGCGCGGUGUGACCAACACUAUCUUUAUAUGAUUAUAGCUGCAAACCAAGUUUUUAAGUAACAAAGCAAAUAAAACAGUCUCGUGUCAUUGCUCUAAAGGGGAGAAAGGAAGAACAGAAACAACGAUGUGCCAUUCCCCAGAAACAAAGAAACAACUGUAAAAAGUGGUUCUAGAUGAAGCUAAAUUGACCAUCGAUGGCGAUUGUGUCGACACGGCAAACAUCCAGACAGCUAGCAUUGACUGACUUGGCCUGUUGAGUACUCGAGGGAACUCGAUAGGUCUUAUGACAAGCCUCGAUUGACUCGAAUUAUUGACCUUCACUGUCCUUCGUCAUUGCUUUCUAACCUAGGUACUCGGUUAUGAACAGCGCGCCGGCUUGGGUACUCGGUGAAGGCGAGCGCAACGAGCCCCAGCACAUGGCAUCCAUGGAAAACUACAGAAUUUUCAGAGUAUGGAAUUUUCAGCGUGCGGUGUGGCCAACACUAUCUUUAUAUGAUUAUAUCUGCAAACCGAUUUUUUAAGUAACAAUGUCAAUAAAACACUCUCGUGUCAUUGCUCUAAAGGAGGAGAAAGGAAUAACAGAAACAACGCCGUGGCAUUCCCCAGAAGCAAAGAACAACGGGAAAACCACACCAUGAGAGAUGUCGUCUUGAACACUCUUGAUUGUGUUGACACGGCAAACAUCCAGACAGCUAGCAUUGACUGACUUGGCUGAUACAUCCACUUCACUGUUGAGUACUCCAGGGAACUCAAUAGGUCUUAUGACAAGUCUCGAUUGACUCGAGUUAUUCACUCAUACCUUGAUUUUUUCCUCCCCUUUCCUGUUGUCGUUCGGUCCAGAUGCCCAUUACCCAGUGCCUGUCAGUGUGUGCUUCUCCCUCCGAUUGCCCAUUACCUAACAAAUUGUAGUUUGCACCGUAAUUCCCUUAAAUCUGCUCCAACCAAGCACCACCUCUCAUGCAAGUCAACAUAUAUGGCAUUUGGUAUCAAUUCUGUAAAUACAAUUUCAAUCAUUCGCUGGUUAUAUUUUUAAAUGAAUUUAAUAUAAAUUUUGAUUAUCUAUUGCUUCUAAAUUCCUGUCGAAAUUAAUUUGAUAUUUUAUUAACCUAUAAUAUCCUAUACUUCAUUUUAUGAGGAAUCUAUCAGAAAAUGAAUUGUAAUUUUUAUGGCUCAUAUCUAUUUGCUCUCUUUAUUAGAUAUUUUUCUUUCCAGUUGUAUGUAAAUCAAACUUUUAUUUUAUUUUUAUCAUUCGGAGUUUUAGUUUUUUAUUACUUCCAUGUCAAGAUAAUAUUUUGAACAAGAUUCCAAUCAACCUUUUGAAAAUCUAACCACUAUAGACAGCUUUUAGAAUAUUCAGUUUGAAAAUUUAGAAUACUCAUUGAAAGACAUAAUAUAAUAUUUUGUAUGUUUAUAUAAUAUCUUCUUACUGAAAAUAGUGGCCACACAGCUAUGUUAUCCAAAACACCUUCUUUUCUUUAAGAACAGGGGAACGAUUGUUUCUUUUUCUAUUUUAUUAAUAUGAUAUUUUUAUAGUCAAUACGGAGACUUGUUUUCUCUUAGCUUUGCCUUAUUAAAAUAACAAUUGAAGAUUCCGUAACUAUGGUUGGGGGCAGAUAUUACUUCCAUGCGAGUUUAUAUUUUGGCCCCUGUUCGCUGGUCUUCCUCUCGAGUCAGCGGCCGGAAUGUGUGGUUCAGAGCAACCAGAGAACAGAAUAUCUACACACGAUUGAUUGGAAUUUGGAAACUGCAAACCAGUAGCGCAAUGGCUCCUGCCAAGGAUCGCCUCCACAACCUUCUGGUCCUGCUCUUGUUCAUAGGUUGCCUCUUCGUAGAUGCUGCCGCCAAGCUUAACACCACAGCGCCUUGCCUCCCGGAUCAAGCUUCUUCCCUCCUCCGGCUAAAAGCUUCCUUCAUCGGUGACAACCUACCAUCAUGGCAAGCUGCAACAGAUUGUUGCCACUGGGAGGGCGUCACCUGCGACAUGGCCUUUGGAAGAGUCAUUUCUCUUGACCUCAGUGAGUUCCAACUAAUGAGCAGGCGUCUUGAUCCUGCGCUCUUCAACCUCACCUCUCUCAGGUAC
rnacentral:lncRNA from 1 species